AAAGUCGAGGAGAGGUCGAAAAAAAAACUUUCGCCCGUUGUUUUCCGUUUUCGCCCGUUUCCCCGUGAACUUUCCCAGUUUGUGCUGCAUGUCCAAAGUCCCUUUGAUAGGGGCCACAUUCCUGAGAGGGUGCGAGACCUGUGCGGGCAGUGCUGUACGAUCAUACCUUGGAGUCGGGUUGCUUGAAAGUGCAGCCUAAAGUGGGUGAUAAACUUCAUCUAAUGCUAAACAUAGACGCGAAUUCGAUAGCGAACAAGUAUCGUCCAGU
rnacentral:ncRNA from 1 species